rnacentral:rRNA from 1 species
CCUACGGGUGGCAGCAGUGGGGAAUAUUGCACAAUGGGCGCAAGCCUGAUGCAGCCAUGCCGCGUGUGUGAAGAAGGCCUUCGGGUUGUAAAGCACUUUCAGCGGGGAGGAAGGCGGUGAGGUUAAUAAUCUCAUCGAUUGACGUUACCCGCAGAAGAAGCACCGGCUAACUCCGUGCCAGCAGCCGCGGUAAUACGGAGGGUGCAAGCGUUAAUCGGAAUUACUGGGCGUAAAGCGCACGCAGGCGGUCUGUCAAGUCGGAUGUGAAAUCCCCGGGCUCAACCUGGGAACUGCAUUCGAAACUGGCAGGCUAGAGUCUUGUAGAGGGGGGUAGAAUUCCAGGUGUAGCGGUGAAAUGCGUAGAGAUCUGGAGGAAUACCGGUGGCGAAGGCGGCCCCCUGGACAAAGACUGACGCUCAGGUGCGAAAGCGUGGGGAGCAAACAGGAUUAGAUACCCCUGUAGUC